AUGAAAUGUCUGAGACGGACUAUUUUACAGAGAAAAGAUGUUUGCUGUCUCCUACUUUGGGAGGGCUGAAGCAUCUAAGCUGUGUGAUGUCACUUUGGUUCACACAUCCCCCCAGUUCUAUCACAUCAGAACAGGAGAGAUGGCAUCAUGGUAAGAGAACACACAGUAGGAGAGAGUUACGGGGUAUCACAUGUACUGUUCUGACCUCUGCAGGUACCACUGGAUUCUGGGUUGCCUCUUGUUUCUUUUACUGUUCAUGUCUCAGAAUUAUGAAACAAAGACCUAAUUGUGGCCCAGAUGUUUCUUACAACAGAGUCUACCCUACAAGAUCUUUACUUACCAGCAAAGGGACAGGCCAGUACUACAACACAGGGCAUGCUCCUGCAUGCCGCCUGCUACUUAGUGCCAACAUUUCCCAGAGAUGGAGCAGCACUUGUGAGCCAAAUGGUCACCCCACAAAGUGAAAUUCUGCAGAUAUAGCAAUAGUACACAGUUCUGCCUCUGUUCCUCAUGAAAUAAAAAGGCAGACGGUCCGUUUCCUGUAAUGGUAAGGGUUCACCCACUCCGUUGGUUUGUGUCCGUUACUGGGAAGAAAUGAGAUGGAAGCUAUAUGUUCAAUCAAUAAGGAAAGGUAAACAGCAGUACUCUGCUAGCCCAGUAUCAAACUCUACUGAAAAGCAACUGCAGUGUUUGGAAGCUUGGAAGCGAGUGAAUAAGCUUCACCCUGAACCCAGUGUGCAGCACUCCUCUGCUGUAAGGAACACUCCCGCUUUGGCUCCAGUUCUCUGGACCAUCUGGCUCACCAGCAGCUUUAGAAUCCUUGCCUUAGCCACACCCUUUUCUAUUAUCACAGUGUUCUAGUAAACAUCUUGUGCGCGAC